rnacentral:misc_RNA from 1 species
UGCACAGAUUUAUAUUAUCAUAAAUCUCAAAGCUUAAAACAGAAAUUCUAUUAACUUAAAAUGACCUGAAAAUCCACAAAAUCUACAACCUUCAGAGGAAGGUUACAUCAUUACCAGAACCAACAUCCGCUGGUAAAAAUAGAAAGCAAACCAGCUCCAUUACUUUCUGCGUCUUGUUCACUGACUUAAACAAGUCAAAUAAAAAAGCUAAACAGAAUUGCAGAUAAAUCCCUUUUUGCUUACAACAUGCAAUCAGUUCUUGCUGGCAACCUUCGGAAGAAAUUGAGCGGCACUGAGGGAAGCUUGUGGCGAAACCUGGGAUGUCUCAACACAUAAAAUCCAGUCAGAAGUGCAACAACUUGGAAAGGAGUAACAUAAAGAACAAUGGCUGCCACCAAACAGAAAAUCACAAACAGUGCUGUGGCCCUUGGAUCUCGCCAGCUCAGCAAAGACUGCAGUCUCUCCCCUUGAGUGGCUAAAUCUCCCACCACAGUCUGAAUCCUUCCAGCAAUACUUCUCAACCGAUCAUAUCUCAUCCUCACAAUAUCAGAAGGCCGAGAAGUUGGGAAAGUAUCAAACUCUUCAUCCAGUUCAUCAGGAUGUGCAGACUCUGCAUGUGAUAGACGAGUGUCCAUGUGAGGAGGUUGCCUUGGCCUCCAUCUAUAAUACCAAACACCAAUCAGGAACAGAUAAAGGAAGAUUGUGGGUAAGAUAAGCUCCGGAUAAAGUACUAGUAUUAUAAACAAUAUGUGAAUAAGCACCGUAGUGAUGGGGUUCCUCCAAUUACAUAUCUGAUCAAACCAUUUGCCCACUGCGAUUAUCCCACUAAAAACCCCCAUGAUUCUGAAAAAGUUAG